GGCACCGUGGCGGUGUGUGGGCGUCCCUGGCAUGUGGACAGGCAGCUUGCUGCUGCCGCCCUGCCCUGCCAGUUGGAGUCGUGACCCCAGCUUCCCCAGCCCCACGGAGGCGGGUGGGAGGGGGCGCUGCUUCACGGCCUCCAACCCUGGGGCUGUCCGGGGAGGGGGGAGGGGGGAGGGCAGGGCACCCAGGCUGGGAGGGGACAACGGAGCAGCAGCGGGAGAGCUGCCGGGAAGAUCUUUACUGAAUGCACAGCCUGCCUUUUCUCAGGGGGCACCCCUGACGGAGGGAGAUUCUGGAUGACCUAGUUUGGGAGGGUGGGGGUGUGAGGACAAGAACAAGGCCGGACCUUGGGUGGCUGACCCUUUCGUCCAGUCCUGACACAGUUUUGGGGGGGCUGGCAGGGUCAUAGGAGCCCUGGUUUUGAUGGUCUUGGUGCGGGAGCAAGCUCAGGGUGGAUGCCCCUGCCACCUUGCCCCCAGGGCUCUCCCUGGGAACCGGAACCAGCAGUUCCAGCGUCCAUCUCCGCAGAGGGGGUGGGGCCGGAGCAGUCCAGCCCCUCCCUGGACAAGGGCCUCAAAUACCCUCCUGGGCCCUGGCGCCACAGCUGCUGUGGCCAAACUCGGGGAGCCGGUCUUGUGCCACAGACACACCCCCAGCCUGGAUCUCCAACCUCAGUCCUGAGCCUCAGAUACCGCCCCAUCCACAUCCCAGCCCGCCCGCUCUGCGCCAUGGGUGGGCCCCGGGUCCUGCUGGCCGCGCUAUGGGUCCUGGGGGCCGCCGGAGCCGCGGCGCUGCGCAUCGGCGCCUUCAACAUCCAGAGCUUUGGCGACAGUAAAGUGUUGGACCCGGCCUGCGGCGGCGUCAUUGCGCAAAUCUUGGCUGGCUAUGACAUCUCGCUGGUGCAGGAGGUUCGAGACCCGGACCUGAGCGCCGUGUCCGCGCUCAUGGAGCAGAUCAACAGGUGCGGGGAGGGGGCGUGGGACAGGGCCCAGCGUUCGGAAUCCAGGCCCGGAUCGCGGGGCUUGGUCCCGUGCCUUGACCCCGGGCCUGGCCGGUGUCUCCGCAGCUUGUCCAGGCACGAGUACAGCUUCGUGAGCAGCGAGCCCCUGGGUCGGGACCAGUACAAGGAAAUGUACCUGUUCGUCUAUAGGAAGGACGCGGUGUCGGUCGUGGACACGUACCAGUACCCGGACCCGGAGGACGCUUUCAGCCGUGAACCUUUCGUGGUCAAGUUCUCGGCCCCCCGCUCGGCUGCCGGGGAGUUCGUGCUCAUCCCGCUGCACGCGGCGCCGCACCAGGCCGUGGCGGAGAUCGACGCUCUCUACGACGUGUACCUGGACGUGAUCGACAAGUGGGGCACGGACGACUUGCUGUUCCUGGGCGACUUCAACGCCGACUGCAACUACGUGCGGGAGCGCGACUGGCCGUCCGUCCGCCUGCGCAGCAGCGAGGUCUUCAAGUGGCUCAUCCCCGACAGCGCCGACACCACCGUGGGCAACUCGGACUGCGCCUACGACCGCAUCGUGGCGUGCGGCGCCCACCUGCGCAGGAACCUCAAGCCCCAGUCUGCCGCCGUGCACAACUUCCAGGAGGAGUUCGGCCUGGACCAGGCUCAGGCGAGUGCGCGAGCGCGGGGCAGGGCGCCCCGCUUCUGAACACAGCGCCCUUAGCGGCUCGGUUCUGGCUGAAAGGAUCGUCUGGGAUGGCAGAAGAUGCCCUUGGUCUCUUCUCGCGUGGGGUCUCCAGUCCGGGCCCCAGCCCACCUGCAGGCUGCACGGCCCUCGCCAUCAGCGACCAUUUUCCUGUGGAGGUGACCCUGAAGUCGCACUGAAAACCCUCAUGGCCAGGAGAACAGCCCUACAGGGUUCCUUCUGGGGGGCUGGCUAGCCCCCAGCAAGCCGCAGGGCAGGGUCGGCUGGACAAGCGGCUACAAAACAUCACAGGACCACCCAGUCUGUUUGCCCAUCUGUGAAAUGGGCUACUCUACCUACCUCAUAGGGUUGUGAGGAGCAGCCUGCAGAGCGCUGGGCACACGGCUGCACUCAAUAAACACGAGCGAGCGCUCAGCCAGGACCACGCUGGUCGGCUUCAAGGCCUCUGUGUCCU